UUUAUUUAAUAUUUUAUAUAAAAUAUUUGCGUGUUUAUUAUAGCAAUUUUUAUCAAAUUGUUAAAGUAGGUAGUGGCAAGGUGAGUAAUGUAUUAGCAUUACUUUACGGUCUCUUGAAAUAAGGACUAAAGGUGUUUUUUUUAUAAAUAUAAAUAUUUAUAAAAAUUAUGCGUAAUAAAGACGCCAUCGGUUUAAUUCACAUACAUACAUAUAUAUGUAUAUAUAGGCAUAAAAACCCCAUUCUAAUUUUUUUUUUUAUUUUUAAUUUUGUGAAAUUUAUAGACUAGUCGGCGUUGCUGUAUAAUGUGCUAAUAUGGGAUUAGGUCUUAAACAUUAAAUUGUUUAGCCAGCGAUCUCUAGCUGAUUUGAGAGAGGAAUCAGCCACAUAGGGUAUGAAAACGACCCUACCCUAGGCAGCAGUGGGGAAUUUUGGGCAAUGCGCGAAAGCGUGAUCCAGCAAAUUGACGUGGGUGAAGAAGAUAUUGUUGUAAAGCCUGUUCGUAGGGUAAUAAACAAAGAAUUUAACCUCUAUUUGAAACCAUGGCCAAUACAUGUGCCAGCAGCCGCGGUAAUACAUGAGUGGUGAGCGUUAUUCGUCUUAAUUGGGUGUAUAGGAUACGUAGGUAGUAAAACAGUUUAUAUAUUACAUAAACAACUGCAUGGGUUUUUAUAUAAAACGUUUUACUAGAAUUUUCUGGAAGUUAUUGAGAUCUGUAAAUAAGUGAUUGAAUAUGUCGACUUUACGGGGAUCACCAACGGCGAAAGCAAAUUUCUACAGAAAAUUGACACUGAGGUAUGAAAGCAUGGGGCUCGACUAGGAUUUGUAACCCUAUUAGUCCAUGCCGUCAAAGAUGAGUAUGUGACAAUUACUAUAUUAUAGUAUUCGUCAACAUUAACGUGAAAUACUCCACCUGGGUAGUACAGUUGCAAGAUCGAAACUUAACAAAAUUGGCGGGAAUUUGUUCAAACGGUGGAACAUGUGGUUUAAUGCGAUGGUCCACGAAAAAUCUUACCAAUGCAAAAUCUAAGUAAAUGAUUAUAAAUUAAAAAAACAAGCAUGUUGUCGAGUUUUAAGAUGAAUUCUUAAUUUUGUUUGUUUUUUUUAGUUUAUAUUCUAAUUCAAUUUCUAAUCAAAAAAUUGAUGAUGCUUAGAGUAAAGGUGCUGCAUGGCUGUCGUCAGCUCGUGUUGUGAGACGUGGGAUUAACUUCUUUGACGGGCGCAACUCUUUAAAUCAGUUUUAAAUAAAAAAUAUUUUUUUUUUAAAAGUUAUUUUUUAUUUUUCUGAUUUUUUCAAUUUUUGAAAUUAUGCAAACAUCGCAAAAUUAUUCAUUAUGAUAAUCUAGAGGUGUUUGGGAAGACAAAAGACUGAAGUCAAGUCCUUAUGGCCUGUAUGUGUUGGGCUACACACGUGUUACAAUGGUAGAAACAGAAAGUAACGAUGGAGAAAUCUUGAGUUAAUCUUUAAAAUCUACCCCAGUUCGAAUUGUUCCUUGAAACUCAGGGGCAUGAAGUUGGAAUCGUUAGUAAUCGUAAAUUAGAAUGUUACGGUGAAUGAUUAAUCAAAUUUUGCACACACCGCCCAUCACGCCCGGAGAUAGAAGGUGGCUGAGAGUCAAAAAAAAAUAUUA
rnacentral:rRNA from 1 species